AGUGAACGCUGGCGGUAGGCCUAACACAUGCAAGUCGAACGGCAGCACAGUAAGAGCUUGCUCUUACGGGUGGCGAGUGGCGGACGGGUGAGGAAUAAAUCGGACUCUACUUUUUCGUGGGGGAUAACGUAGGGAAACUUACGCUAAUACCGCAUACUACCUACGGGUGAAAGCAGGGGCUCUUCGGACCUUGCGCGAUUGAAUGAGCCGAUGUCGGAUUAGCUAGUUGGCGGGGUAAAGGCCCACCAAGGCGACGAUCCGUAGCUGGUCUGAGAGGAUGAUCAGCCACACUGGAACUGAGACACGGUCCAGACUCCUACGGGAGGCAGCAGUGGGGAAUAUUGAACCAUGGGCGCAAGCCUGAUCCAGCCAUACCGCGUGGGUGAAGAAGGCCUUCGGGUUGUAAAGCCCUUUUGUUGGGAAAGAACAGCAGCAGGUUAAUACCCCGCUGUUCUGACGGUACCCAAAGAAUAGGCACCGGCUAACUUCGUG
rnacentral:rRNA from 1 species